UACGGAGGGGGCUAGCGUUGUUCGGAAUUACUGGGCGUAAAGCGCACGUAGGCGGCUUUGUAAGUUAGAGGUGAAAGCCCGGGGCUCAACUCCGGAACUGCCUUUAAGACUGCAUCGCUUGAACAUCGGAGAGGUAAGUGGAAUUCCGAGUGUAGAGGUGAAAUUCGUAGAUAUUCGCAAGAACACCAGUGGCGAAGGCGGCUCACUGGCCCGAUACUGACGCUGAGGCACGAAAGCGUGGGGAGCAAACAGG
rnacentral:rRNA from 1 species